UAUGCAAAUGUCAUAUUCCGAGACUGUUGCUUGACUUACUAAUUCUGGACGCUGGCCAUACCUUACCAAUAUCAGCGGCAGAAAGAUCAAUUUUUGCCGAAACAAUUUCACUCUUUCUACAAAGGCUAGAGCGACAACUUUGUCCCUGAAAAUGUCGGGAAUACUACGAGGAGCAAUUGUCCGAUGGACGCCAACAAUGAGGUCUAUGAUCUUCCAGAAAAGAGGAGUUAGAUGUGCAAAACCUGCAAACCCUCUUCAACCAUGGGAGAGUGCGGUGGGACUGGGGGUCCUUUCAGUGGGCUGUUUGGCCAUUCCCUGCUGGAUACUGACACAUCUGGAAGACUACAAGGCCCGUGAUGAGUAAGGAUGGAUUUACUUAAAUCUCGGCAAGUCUCUAGUCUUCACCAUUGAAUCAACCAAGGAAUGUACAGAACCUAGCAAGAAUCGUGACAAAGGAUAACCCUCACCCUCUUCAAGAACUCCAAAUUGGCCUUGAGCGUGAACAUGCCGAGAUCGAGUCUGCAAGUGGUUAUGUGCCGGGGUGAACCUCAUUUGUUGGCUUGUACCUUGGAGGAAAUGAGUAUUGCUAUCACACUUCAGAUUGAGGUCGACACCAUCACAUUACUGGACUGAAAGAUCUAAAAGGGCAUUACAGCACUCACUACUGAUAAGUCUUAGUUUCAGGGUGCCUUCAACAUUGUGUCAAAUCCAAAAAAGUUCAUUGCAAAUUGCCGAAAGUUACAUGUAGCUGAGAAUCUUGUCACAGCUUUUCUGUCAUCUAUCCUCUCAACAUGAAGAAUCAAGGAACUCCUGGAAACAAACUUUUUCGAGUCUAACAGUAGUGUCAAAACUCUGUCUUAAGACUUAGGGAAGUCAUGUGUAUUAUUUUAUCAAAAUCCUGUAGACCACCGUGUCAGAAAUAUUUCAGUGGUUUUUAUUGAUUAUUUUUGUAAAAACUCAUUAUGUGCACAGUGGAAACUGGUUAGAAGAUAUCUCAUUGUCAGAAAUAUCUACAUGCACUGUUCCAUUUAGAGCAGUGGCCCUCUCUUGUCACCACUCAGAGUGAAUAACCAAAUAACAUGGUCAGGAUGUUUAGGUGUUAUCAUAUGGAGAAAUCUUAGUCAAAGGAAAGAAAUAGGUACAUUCAGAAGUCUGAGAUACUGUCUCAGCGGUCUCAUUUUUGUAGCGUGUAGAUUAACUCAGGACUGUAAAUCUGCAAAUACCGGGCUUCAGUCUCCGAGUCCUGGUUUUGGUCAAGUACAAAGAACACAUGAUUGUUAUCCUGCACAGGUCUGUCAGAUAUUGAAAGAUUCAGGAAGUGUCAUAGAAAAGUGUUCAAUGGUCAUGGUCAAUAGGCACACCAUCUGGAUGGGGGUUCAGAAGAGACGGAAUCAUUGUGGUUUUUUAAUUGUGCUCAACAUUAUUUUAUUGUGUAGCUGUAACUGACAUGUAAUAGAUAUAACCGAACCCAUUAACUUUCAUCAUCACGAAUGUUUUCAGAUUGCGUAGCCUGUGAAUAUACAUAGAUGUUAGGAAAAUGCAAAAUCACUCCUGGCACUGAUUGACUACAAAAUG